GAGGGUUGAUAGGUUAAGAGCUAGUUAACUGGACGUUACCCACAGAAGAAGCACCGGCUAACUCCGUGCCAGCAGCCGCGGUAAUACGGAGGGUGCGAGCGUUAAUCGGAAUUACUGGGCGUAAAGAGUGCGUAGGUGGUUAAUUAAGUUAUGUGUAAAAUCCCUGGGCUCAACCUGGGCAGGUCAUAUAAUACUGAUUAACUCGAGUAUGGGAGAGGGUAGUGGAAUUUCCGGUGUAGCGGUGAAAUGCGUAGAGAUCGGAAGGAACACCAGUGGCGAAGGCGGCUACCUGGCCUAAUACUGACACUGAGGCACGAAAGCGUGGGGAGCAAACAGGAUUAGAUACCCUGGUAGUCCACGCCGUAAACGAUGUCAACUAGCUGUUGGUUAUAUAAAUAUAAUGCGUUUGCUCUUAACCUAUCAACCCUCA
rnacentral:rRNA from 1 species